GCCCCGAUAGCUCAGAAGGAUAGAGCACAGGAUUCCUAAUCCUGGUGCCGCAGGUUCGAUUCCUGCUCGGGGCACCA
rnacentral:tRNA from 4 species